CGGACACGAGCUCUGCGAAUCACUUUAUUGCGCGCGUUUCGGGGAGCGGGCCGUCCAGGGAAGGAAGCAAAGCGGGAACGCACUGCAGGCCCCAUCCAGAAAUAGCAGAUGCCAACGGAAUCCAAGAAUAAAGUCGUUUAUUAUUUUCAGAGCGGCGGGAGUAGGGCUGGGGACCCUAGGGCCGCUCCAGUGGGACUUCCCUGAACCCGGUUGUAGAGGAUGAUGGCGCCUUUGGCCGAGGGGCAGAGUUCAGCCCACAUCUCCGUCUCGAGCAAUCUCUGCACGUUCUGUGGGGAGACAACGAGACCCAGGCAUUCAAGCUUGCCACUUCUCCUGCCAGGGCUGUGCCCAGAAUUCCUGAGCCUCAGAGACCUCUGCACUGUCCUUAGGGAGGCAUGUUAAGGGGCUGAACAUGUCCCUGGACCUUUCCCUUGCACUGAGGGCAAAUCUUGUGACUCUGGAGGGAAUUGUGACCCAGCCAACACCUCCCCUACAAGAUAUGCAUUGCCAGGCCUCUGCAGGCCCCAGCCCUGGCCUCCAAGCAAGAUGGUUUGUCACUCUGCACCUGUGUCUCCACAAAGAAGAUUCCUGUAGACUCGUGGGCCUCGGGUCCCCCACUCAGGUAGUGCUUCCUCACCUGCUCAGAAGUCAGGCUGCACCUGGACAAGAACACAAGGGUGGCUUAGUGGGUGACCAGCCCCUGCGGGGUACCUGUGGAGCCACAGCUGCCUCAGCCCACUCCUCACCACCCACCUUCCCAAGACCCAGGAUCAUGUACCCGAGCCUACUCACUGGACAUAGAACUCGGCACUGGCUCGGCCAGCACUGGUCUCAUUUCGGGCGAUGCCCAACAGCAGGGGCUGGCUCAGGGUGAGCAGCGGCAGGUUCACCUGCGGUGGAGGGUGGGGUGGGGGGAGGUCCCA
ensembl:lncRNA novel transcript